GAUGAACGCUGGCGGCGUGCUUAACACAUGCAAGUCGAACGAUGAAGCCCAGCUUGCUGGGUGGAUUAGUGGCGAACGGGUGAGUAACACGUGAGUAACCUGCCCUUGACUCUGGGAUAAGCCUGGGAAACUGGGUCUAAUACUGGAUAUGACUUCUCAUCGCAUGGUGGGGGGUGGAAAGAUUUAUUGGUCUUGGAUGGACUCGCGGCCUAUCAGCUUGUUGGUGAGGUAAUGGCUCACCAAGGCGACGACGGGUAGCCGGCCUGAGAGGGUGACCGGCCACACGGGGACGGAGACACGGCCCAGACUCCUACGGGAGGCAGCGGUGGGGAAUAUUGCACAAUGGGCGCAAGCCGGAUGCAGCGACGCCGCGUGAGGGAUGACGGCCUUCGGGUUGUAAACCUCUUUCAGUAGGGAAGAAGCGAGAGUGACGGUACCUGCAGAAGAAGCGCCGGCGAACUACGU
rnacentral:rRNA from 1 species